rnacentral:tRNA from 1 species
UACUAGGAAGCUAAAAUGGAAGAAGCGUUGGCCUUUUAAGCCAAAGAUUGGUGGUUCAAACCACCCCUUGUAU